AUCGCCCCCUUUCUUCAGGCCUAACACAUGCAAGUCGAACGAACCUUUCGGGGUUAGUGGCGGACGGGUGAGUAACACGUGGGAACGUGCCUUUAGGUUCGGAAUAACUCAGGGAAACUUGUGCUAAUACCGAAUGUGCCCUUCGGGGGAAAGAUUUAUCGCCUUUAGAGCGGCCCGCGUCUGAUUAGCUAGUUGGUUGAGGUAAUGGCUCACCAAGGCGACGAUCAGUAGCUGGUCUGAGAGGAUGAUCAGCCACAUUGGGACUGAGACACGGCCCAAACUCCUACGGGAGGCAGCAGUGGGGAAUCUUGCGCAAUGGGCGAAAGCCUGACGCAGCCAUGCCGCGUGAAUGAUGAAGGUCUUAGGAUUGUAAAAUUCUUUCACCGGGGACGAUAAUGACGGUACCCGGAGAAGAAGCCCCGGCUAACUUCGUG
rnacentral:rRNA from 1 species